rnacentral:rRNA from 1 species
AUUGAACGCUGGCGGCAGGCCUAACACAUGCAAGUCGAGCGGAUGAAGGGAGCUUGCUCCUGGAUUCAGCGGCGGACGGGUGAGUAAUGCCUAGGAACCUGCCUGGUAGUGGGGGAUAACGUCCGGAAACGGGCGCUAAUACCGCAUACGUCCUGAGGGAGAAAGUGGGGGAUCUUCGGACCUCACGCUAUCAGAUGAGCCUAGGUCGGAUUAGCUAGUUGGUGGGGUAAAGGCCUACCAAGGCGACGAUCCGUAACUGGUCUGAGAGGAUGAUCAGUCACACUGGAACUGAGACACGGUCCAGACUCCUACGGGAGGCAGCAGUGGGGAAUAUUGGACAAUGGGCGAAAGCCUGAUCCAGCUAUGCCGCGUGUGUGAAGAAGGUCUUCGGAUUGUAAAGCACUUUAAGUUGGGAGGAAGGGCAGUAAGUUAAUACCUUGCUGUUUUGACGUUACCAACAGAAUAAGCACCGGCUAACUUCGUG